rnacentral:rRNA from 1 species
UACAGAGGGUGCAAGCGUUAAUCGGAUUUACUGGGCGUAAAGCGUGAGUAGGUGGCUCGCUAAGUCGGUUGUGAAAUCCCUGGGCUCAACCCUGGGAAUUGCAGUCGAUACUGACGAGCUAGAGUUCGGUAGAGGGUGACGGAAUUCCCGGUGUAGCGGUGAAAUGCGUAGAUAUCGGGAGGAACUCGAUGGCGAAGGCAAUCACCUGGGCCUGAACUGACACUGAGACACGAAAAGCGUGGGUAGCAAACAGGG